ensembl:lncRNA
GUGUGACUUUGGGCAUAUUACAAGCCCCUCUGGUAUUCACCUUCAGUGUUAUUGCUGUUCAUUCUGUAAAACAGGUGACAAAAACACCUGCUUCACGGGGUUACAGUGGGAAUUAAAGUGAAUAUAUAAAGAACCCAGUUUAGCAUUUUUCACAGAAGUGGGUAUUUAAUAAAUGAUAUCUAUUAAUAUUAUAUUUGUCUAUGAAAAGGAUUGGCAAGCCACAAUUUAGAACAUUCUCUUUCCAAUUUCCCAUCAUCGAAAUAAUCACACUUCGCACAUCCUCACUGGCAGAUUUCACAGCUAGUGCAUUCAGGAAGAGUUAUUUAUCUGAAUAACAAAUUCUUCGCCCAGUUCCCCAAACUGCACAUUCAAGCAGAGGUUGUUACAGUCGACAGUGUGGGGUGUAUUGAGGAAGGUGUGGUGAUGAUGGUCAUAGAGACAAUAUGUGUGGCGCCCUCACUGUGUUCUAGGCACUGUGCUAAGAGUAUUACAGGUGCUCCUCAUGCAUCCUCUUCCUACAAAUAAGAAAGCAGGAGUCCGGAGGAGCUAGACAACAUGCCUAGGGACACAUAACUAUAAGAGGCAGAGGCCAUAUCUGAAUCAGCCGGCGGACCUGUAAAUCUCUUUCAGUAUUAGAAUGGGACCGAGGCGUUUGGGCACAGCAGCUCUUCUCUUGAAGUUUUCAGAACAAAGGAAGAGCACAGGCCUCCAAUGUGCCACUUUUCAUGGGUAUAGGUUACUUGCUCAAAGAGGUACUUGACUAAUAUUUUUUGAAUGAAUGAAAAAUCAACAAAUAAAUACAUCAACCAAGGUAGUCUUCCUCUGAUGACCCUCAUAAACAAGACCAUAAUAGUAUCCUGUAAAGUCUACAAAUAAAAAUAAAUGCUGGUGAGGAUGUGGAGAAAAGAGCACCCUCCUACACUGUUGGUGGGAAUAUAAAUUGGUGCAGCCACUAUGGAAAACAGUAUGGAGGCUCCUUGGAAAACUAAAAACAGAGUGACCAUGUGAUCUAGCAAUCCCACUCCUGGGUAUAUAUCUGGAAAAAAAUGAAAUUUGAAGUGGUACAUGUACUCCAGUGUUCAUAGCAGCACUGUUUACAGUAGCCAAGAAAUGGAAACACCCCACCUGCCCAUUGACAGAUGAGUGGCUUAGGAAGAUAUGAUAAAUAUACCAUGGAAUAUUACUGAGCCAUAAAAAGAAUGAAAUAUUGCGAUUUGCAGCAACAUGAAUGGAUCUAGAGAUUAUUGUACUUAGUGAAGUAGGUCACCCAGAGGAAGACAAAUAUUCCACAAAAUGCAUGUGGAAUCUAAAAAAUAAUGCAAAUGGAUCUAUACACAAAUCAGAAACAGACUCACACACAUAGAGUUUUAUAACAAACUUAUGGUUACCAAAGAGAAGGGGCAAAUUGGGAGUAUGGGAUUAACAAACUACUAUACAUAAAACAGGUAAGCAACAGGGGUUUACUGUAUAGCCCAGGGACUUAUAUUCAGUAUCUUGUAAUAACCUAUAAUGUAAUAUAAUCAGAAAAAAUAACGGAAUCACUAAGCUGUACACAUGAAACCAACAUAAUAUUGAAACGAACUCUGUUGUCAUGGUUAGUUGUUAGGUUGUGUCUGACUCUUUUGCGACCCCAUGGCCUGUCGCCCACCAGAUUCCUCUGUCCAUGGGAUUUCCCAGGCAAGAAUGCUGGAACUGGAUAGCUACCCACCAAGCUCAGGCUGUGUUUCUCAGCUUCUUUUGCUAUGGAGUGGAUUCUUGCCAGUGGAAUGAGACCUGUGUUCCAUUCCUGGGUUGGGAAGAUCCCCUGAAGAAGGAAAUGGCAAUACACUUCAAUAUUCUUGCCCGGGAAAUCCCAUGGACAGAGGGGCCUGGUGGGCUACAGUCAUGGGGUCACAGAGAGUCAGACACAACUGAGCCACAAAACAACAACCACCACAAACUUAAAAAAGCAGACUAUAAAUGGC